rnacentral:rRNA from 1 species
UACGGAGGGGGCUAGCGUUGUUCGGAAUUACUGGGCGUAAAGGGCCAGUAGGCGGCCAACUAAGUCACACGUGAAAUCCCCAGGCUUAACCUGGGAACUGCGUGUGAUACUGGAUGGCUUGAAUUCGGGAGAGGGAUGCAGAAUUCCACGUGUAGCAGUGAAAUGCUGUAGAGAUGUGGAGGAAUACCGAUGGCGAAGGCAGCCCCCUGGGAUCAACACUAGACGC